UUGGUUAAGUUAGAAAGGGCGCACGGUGGAUGCCUUGGCACUAGGAGCCGAAGAAGGACGGGACUAACACCGAUAUGCUUUGGGGAGCUGUACGUAAGCGUUGAUCCAGAGAUUUCCGAAUGGGGGAACCCACUAUCUUUAGUCGGAUAGUAUCCUUACGUGAAUACAUAGCGUGAGGAAGGCAGACCCAGGGAACUGAAACAUCUAAGUACCUGGAGGAAGAGAAAGAAAAAUCGAUUUCCUGAGUAGCGGCGAGCGAAACGGAAAGAGCCCAAACCAAGAAGCUUGCUUCUUGGGGUUGUAGGACACUCUAUACGGAGUUACAAAAGAAAGUUAUAAAUGAAGCGGUCUGGAAAGGCCCGCCAAAGACGGUAACAGCCCGGUAGUUGAAAUGGCUUUCCCUCCAGAGUGGAUCCUGAGUACGGCGGAACACGUGAAAUUCCGUCGGAAUCCGGGAGGACCAUCUCCCAAGGCUAAAUACUCCCUAGUGACCGAUAGUGAACCAGUACCGUGAGGGAAAGGUGAAAAGCACCCCGGAAGGGGAGUGAAACAGUUCCUGAAACCGUGUGCCUACAAGUAGUUAGAGCCCGUUAAUGGGUGAUAGCGUGCCUUUUGUAGAAUGAACCGGCGAGUUACGAUUUGUUGCAAGGUUAAGCGGAAAAAGCGGAGCCGUAGCGAAAGCGAGUCUGAAUAGGGCGCAUAAGUAACAGGUCGUAGACCCGAAACCAGGUGAUCUACCCAUGUCCAGGAUGAAGGUAAGGUAAUACUUACUGGAGGUCCGAACCCACGCACGUUGAAAAGUGCGGGGAUGAGGUGUGGGUAGCGGAGAAAUUCCAAUCGAACUUGGAGAUAGCUGGUUCUCUCCGAAAUAGCUUUAGGGCUAGCCUCGAGGUAAAGAGUCAUGGAGGUAGAGCACUGUUUGGACUAGGGGCCCUUCUCGGGUUACCGAAUUCAGAUAAACUCCGAAUGCCAUGUACUUAUACUCGGGAGUCAGACUGCGAGUGAUAAGAUCCGUAGUCGAAAGGGAAACAGCCCAGACCACCAGUUAAGGUCCCCAAAUAUAUGUUAAGUGGAAAAGGAUGUGGGGUUGCUUAGACAACCAGGAUGUUGGCUUAGAAGCAGCCACCAUUGAAAGAGUGCGUAAUAGCUCACUGGUCGAGUGACCCCGCGCCGAAAAUGUACCGGGGCUAAACAUAUUACCGAAACUGUGGAUGAACCUCUUUAGAGGUUCGUGGUAGGAGAGCGUUCUAAGGGCGGUGAAGUCAGACCGGAAGGACUGGUGGAGCGCUUAGAAGUGAGAAUGCCGGUAUGAGUAGCGAAAGAAGGGUGAGAAUCCCUUCCACCGAAUAUCUAAGGUUUCCUGAGGAAGGCUCGUCCGCUCAGGGUUAGUCGGGACCUAAGCCGAGGCCGAUAGGCGUAG
rnacentral:rRNA from 1 species